CGCUCACUAUCGAACCGUUUUAGAAACAUUCAGGGGCCAACAGUUUCAGGAUUGUUGAGCUCCAUUGGCGGGAUUUCGCCGUCUUCGUUUCUCUUUCUUCGCGGACGAACACGCGCCAGGGCUGAGCGCUGUGCGAUGCAUCGACGACAAGUCGUGUGCGCGCCGGCAUGUCCCUCGUGUUAGGGGCUUGUAGCUCAGUUGGUUAGAGCGCGCGCUUGAUAAGCGUGAGGUCGGAAGUUCAAGUCUUCCCAGGCCCACCAUUUUGAUCGAGUGCAGAGCAUUCGUCUUCUGGUACGGGGCCAUAGCUCAGCUGGGAGAGCGCGUGCUUUGCAAGCAUGAGGUCGUCGGUUCGAUCCCGUCUGGCUCCACCAGAUGGAAUUGAGGCUCGACAAUGCACUUGGUGCAAGAAGCUCUGUUCAUAUCGUCCGCGAAACAUCACUUCGCACUCAUUGGUCCGGAUGGACGGUGACGUGCGUGUUUUCUGACAUCGUAAAGAGGAGAUCGAUCCGAGUUUGGAUCUGCGAAGCAAUUCGCGGGUACCAUUCCUAAUCUCCAGAUCGUUUUCGGCGCUCGCGCAUCGCAGCCCAUCGCAAGAUGAGUGAGAGAUGAGCGAGUUGUAAAACGAUCUUUGUAGCGAAGCUUGACCGCCUCGCUAUCGGGCCGAUCUUACGAAGCAAGCUGGUCUUUCUAGUCAAUGUCCGGCUGCGCAAUCGCAUUCAUCGAGGAUGCGCGCCUUCAAUGGCAGUUGUGCAGACAACAUUCUGCCGAGUGUGUGGACAUUGAUAAUGAGAGCAAUCAAGUGCCUUAAGGGUGUUCGGUGGAUGCCUUGGCGCUGAGAGGCGAUGAAAGACGUGCUACGCUGCGAUAAGCCGUGGGGAGCUGCGAAGAAGCUUUGAUCCACGGAUUUCCGAUGGG
rnacentral:misc_RNA from 1 species